rnacentral:ncRNA from 2 species
GUGUGCCGUGUUUUCCGAGUUGUCAGCCUUCCUCGCAAGCCAGGGAGAUGGCUGCCAGCCGAUAGGGCAUAGCGGGAAACGGUUAUGCCUCCCACCUUUGGAAAGGAAAACAACUUGUUGUCCC